AUACUACCCGACGACUGGCAUUCAUCGUUUACGGUGUGGACUACCAGGGUAUCUAAUCCUGUUUGCUCCCCACACUUUCGCACCUCAGCGUCAGUAUCGAGCCAGUGAGCCGCCUUCGCCACUGGUGUUCCUCCAAAUAUCUACGAAUUUCACCUCUACACUUGGAAUUCCACUCACCUCUCUCGAACUCAAGACUAGGAGUUUUAAAGGCAGUUCCAGGGUUGAGCCCUGGGAUUUCACCUCUAACUUUCUAAUCCGCCUACGUGCGCUUUACGCCCAGUAAUUCCGAACAACGCUAACCCCCUCCGUAUUACCGCGGCUGCUGGCACGGAGUUAGCCGGGGUUUCUUUACCAGGUACUGUCAUUAUCAUCCCUGGCGAAAGAGCUUUACGACCCUAAGGCCUUCUUCACUCACGCGGCAUGGCUAGAUCAGGCUUGCGCCCAUUGUCUAAGAUUCCCCACUGCUGCCUCCCGUAGGAGUCUGGGCCGUGUCUCAGUCCCAGUGUUGCUGAUCAUCCUCUAAAACCAGCUAUAGAUCGUAGACUUGGUAGGCCAUUACCCCACCAACUAUCUAAUCUAACGCGGGCCGAUCCUUCUCCGAUAAAUCUUUCCCCCGAAGGGCGUAUACGGUAUUACUCUUCGUUUCCAAAGGCUAUUCCGUAGAAAAGGGUACGUUCCCACGCGUUACUAACCCGUCCGCCGCUAGACCCGAAGGUCUCGCUCGACUUGCAUGUGUUAGGCCUGCCGCCAGCGUUCGUUCUGAGCCAGGAUCAAACUCU
rnacentral:rRNA from 1 species